CCCUAUCUCCCACGCAUUCACUGGCGUCAGGCCGCCCCACUUAAUUCUAGGUCUACACUCCUUACUCCUCCUCUUUCUAUUCUUCUUUAUACCCAAAUCCAUAACCAAGAGCCUAUGCUGGGUCGAAAGAUUCUCACUCGGGAUGACCUUACAGUCCUUACACAACGCCCUAUCCCCUUUCCUAAGCAACAAAAAGUCAAUCUGGGUCCUGGCUAUCGCGCUUCGAAAGGUGAUCAGGUGCUCGUCUUCUUCAGGAAGCCCGAGUUCACCACCACAGCCCAAAGGACCUUGCAAACUCCAAUAGGGUAGCCCCCUCUUCAUUUCUCUCCCCAAAACCAAAACCACCAUGCACAUCCCCAAUGCCUCUCGGUAGCGCCCCGAUGUGCCCGUUGAAAUCUCCUGCUACAACAAUCUUCUCCGAGCUAGGCACGCCUCUCACCACCUCCUCCAAAGCCUCCCAAAACUGCAUCUUCUCCUCCCCCUCCGAUCCCACUUGCGGCGCAUAGGUACUACACACGUUCAGGGUAAACCCUCGAAUGACCAACUUAAUAAUCAUCAACCUAUUGUUGAUCCUCUUUACCUCUACUACCUGACCUCUAAGCUCUUCAUCUACUAAGAUGCCAACUCUAUUCCUACGCCUCUCGCUCCCAGAGUACCACAGCUUGUAACCAUCCACAUCCCUAGCCUUAGACCCUACCCACUUGGUCUCUUGAACACACGCAAUGUUGAUCCUCCUCUUCCUAAGAAUCUGCACACGCUCUAUGGACUUACCCUGAAGGGUCCCUAUAUUCCAAGACCCAACCCUCAGCCUACCCAUAAGGCAAUAAUCGAUUCCGCCAAUCAAUAUGUGACACUUAGCACAAUCCAUUUGUGUUUUAGCAGUUCAUAAGUUCUGUUGGCUCAAGACACAGGACAAUAUACAAAAAUAUUCAAAGCAUGAAACAUGAUAAAACUAACAUAGAUACAACAUCCCAAAAGUAAUGUACAAUAAGAAACAAAAAACACCAAAACCCUCCUAACUACGGACCACGAUUCAUUCACUCUCCUUAUCUCUCUAUCCUAGUGUUUUUCCUCUAAACCUUUCUAUCCAGGGUCAUGCCUUUAGUGAGACGUAACUGCUCUAUGUCACGUCUAUUCACUUCUCUCCAGUAUUUCUUCGGUCUACCCCUACCCCGCUUGAAACCAUCUAACGCUAGUCUCUCACACCUACGAACUUAUGAACUGGGGCAUCUGUGCCCCUCCUUAUCACAUGACCAAACCAUCUCAACCUCACUUCCCGCAUUUUUUCCUCCACCGAUACCACUCUCACCUUCUCCCGAAUAAUCUCAUUCCUAACCCUGUCAGCCCUUGUAAGACCACACAUCCAACGCAACAUUCUCAUUUCCGCCACCUUCAACUUUUGGAUGUGGGAAGUCUUAAUUGGCCAAUACUCCGCUUCGUACAACAUAGCCGGUCGGACUGCAACUCUAUAGAAUUUGCCUUUAAGCUUAGAAGGCACCUUAUUAUCGCAUAAAAUCCCCGAUGCGAGCCUCCAUUUCAUCCAACCUGCCCCAAUACGGUGCGAGACAUCCUCAUCUAUCUCUCUAUUUCCCUGGAUCGUAGACCCAAGAUACUGAAAACUAUCCCUCUUGCAAACUGCCUGAGAGUCUAACUUCACCACCACCUCCUCUUCUUGCCUCGAGUCACUAAACUUGCACUCCAAUUACUCUGUCUUGGUCCUACUCGAUCUGAAACCUUUAGACUCCAGAGUUUGUCUCCAAACCUCCAACUUAUCAUUAACACCUUGCUGCGACUCAUCAAUCAAAACUACAUCAUCCGCAAAAAGCAUACACCAAGGCACCUCGCCUUGUAAACUCCGCGUCAGCACAUCCAUCACCAUAGCAAAUAAGAACGGACUAAGAGCUGAUCCCUGAUGCAACCCUGUCAAGACCGGUAAGUGCUCAAAAUCUCCUUCCACCGUCCUUACUCAAGUCUUUGCCCCCUCAUACAUAUCCUUAAUCGCUCUAAUGUACGCCACAGGAACCCCCCUCGCCUCCAAGCAUCUCCAAAGAACCUCCCUAGGGACCUUGUCAUACGACUUUUCCAAGUCAAUAAACACCAUGUGAAGAUCUCUCUUCCUCUCUUACUGCUCUACCAGUCUCCGCACAAGGUGAAUUGCCUCAGUCGUCGAGCGACCAGGCAUAAAUCCAAAUUGAUUUUCCUAAAUAGACACAAUAUUUCUCAACCUUCGCUCCACCACCCUCUCCCAAAUCUUCAUCGUGUGACUCAACAACUUAAUACCCCAGUAGUUGUUGCAACUCUGAAUGUCACCCUUAUUCUUAUAUAGAGGGAUCAUCGUGCUCCAUCUCCACGCCUCAGGCAUCUUCGCGGAAUUGAAAAUGUUGUUAAACAGGUUGGUCAGCCACCUUAACCCAGCCACGCUAGAAAACUUCCAAAAAUCCACCGGAAUCUUGUCGGGCCCCUUCGCCCUGCCCCUUCGCAUCUUGCGAAUAGCCUCGCUGACCUCCUAUACUUUAAAAUGCUGACAAUAGUCGAAAUCGCGACACUCCCCGGUAUGCUCCAACUCCCCUAGCACAACACCUCUGUCCCCCUCGUCAUUCAAGAGCUUAUGAAAAUACGACUGCCAUCUUUUCUUAAUGAGGGCGUCCUCCACCAAUACUUUGCCAUCUUCCCCCUUAAUGCACUUUACUUGAUCUAGAUCCCGACCCUUCCGCUCCCUAGUCUUGGAAAUCCUAAACAACCUCUUUUUCCCGCCUUUCUCCUCUAACCCCGUAUACAAACUCUCAAAAGCUAACUUAGCCUCCUUCUAAGCUAACUUAUACUCCUCCAUACUAACCCGUUUCUCCUCUUCAUCCCUACUCUCCAACAACUUAACAUAAGCCGCCUUCUUUGUCUCCACCUUCUUCUUAACAUCUUCAUUCCACCACCAAUCUCCUCGAUACCGGCCCGACCAGCCCCUCGAGACACCCAACACUUCUUUAGCAGAUUUUUUGAUGCAUUCCGCAGCCCUAUCCCAUAUACUAUCCACGUCCCCGCUAUCCUCCCAAACCCCUAUCCCUUCUAACUUCGCCCUUAUCUCCAGGGCACUAGCUGGAGUCAGUCCACCCCACCUAACUCUAGGACGGCCCUCCCCACCCCGUCUCUUCUUGCCCUUCUUGAUACCCAAGUCCAUCACUAGAAGUCUAUGCUGGGUCGCAAGAUUCUCACUCGGGAUAACCUUACAAUCCUUACACAUUGCUCUAUCCCCCUUCCUAAGCAGCAAAAAGUCAACUUGAGUCUUGGCUAGCCUACUACGAAAAGUAACCAG
rnacentral:lncRNA from 1 species